UACGGAGGGGGCUAGCGUUGUUCGGAAUUACUGGGCGUAAAGCGCACGUAGGCGGCUUUGUAAGUUAGAGGUGAAAGCCCGGAGCUCAACUCCGGAAUUGCCUUUAAGACUGCAUCGCUUGAAUCAUGGAGAGGUGAGUGGAAUUCCGAGUGUAGAGGUGAAAUUCGUAGAUAUUCGGAAGAACACCAGUGGCGAAGGCGGCUCACUGGCCCGGUACUGACGCUGAGAUGCGAAAGCGUGGGGAGCAAACAGG
rnacentral:rRNA from 1 species